CAAUAGCGUAUAUUUAAGUUGUUGCAGUUAAAACGCUCGUAGUGUGACUUCGGUCAAGCUCCGUAGGUCUGCCAGUUCGUCUGGUGUGCACUUGCGGGAUUUGGCUAAUAAUCGAGAAUGGUAUUGCACUUGAUUGUGUGAUGCUGGCCUCGGUGCAGAUACUUUGAGUAAAGGUUCGUGUUCCAAGCAGGCGGUUGCCUUGAUAUUUGCAGCAUGGGAUAUCGAGACAGGACUUGGGUCCUAUCUUGUUGGUUCUCGGGAUCCAAGUAAUGGUUAACAGGAAUGGUUGGGGGCACUCGAAUUUGGCAGCUAGAGGUGAAAUUCUUGGAUUUGCCAACGACGAACGACUGCGAAAGCAUUUGCCAAGGAUGUUUUCAUUAA
rnacentral:rRNA from 1 species